rnacentral:hammerhead_ribozyme from 1 species
UGGCGAAACCUCCCGGGAGGAGGUCGUCGCGGGGUGGUUCCCGCGGCCUGACGAAGCCAGCCAACA